UCAGCACAUAAGUGAAGUUCAUAAUCCACUUUCUUUUCUUCCAAUAUAAUACAUAGUAGAUAUACACUAUUCUCUUUCCUCAAAAGUACAGAAAAGAAACAAAUUCGUAAGGCAUAAACCAUUGCUUACAGUAGCUCCAAGCUUUGAAGCACCAAAUACAAAUAUUUCUUGUACAAAUAAUGACACAUUACAUAAAAAGGGUUAUAAAUAAACUAUGAAGCUCAAAAGGAGGGAUACUACAUGAUGCUUAAUUUCUUAAGAACUUCAAGAACAUUAUUACAUGUUGCAAGUUAUGUUGACCUUGAUUAUUAUUAUUAUAGCCUUGGACUUGCAAGGUCAAGAAAACUUGAACAAUAUUCAUAAAGUUAAAAAACAUAAAAUAAGAAUGUAAGAAGAAUAAGCUCAGGAGAGAUAUCGCCAUAACAUUUACCACAUUUCCAUUUGUUCUGCAAUCUUGUAGCCUUCACCUUCAAGUGCCAUGACAAAGAACAAAGGCAUCAUUUUUAGCAGCAAACUUGACAUGUUGAAAAUCCAAACACUAUCUCAGGAUGAUUUGAAGCUGAGUAGGGAGGGUCUCAUAUUUCAGCUUCAGUUUGAAUAGUGCCAUGAAAUGUAGGAGAGAGUGUACCUAUAUAUAUACAGGGAAAUAUCCGUUUACACCCAAGUUAAGUUAUACUCGAUUUCAGCUAUUAAUAAAAUAAAUGAUGAGAGAGAAUAAUACAAAAUUUAAAUAACUUUUAAGUUUAACCUAUUUAGUCUGAAUUGAAAAAGAUGGGAGGGAAAAAUAUAAAUGUAAUAAAUUAAGAGACAUGAAUCAGAGGCAGUGAAUAGAAAUGAUGAUUACCUGCAUGUACAUUAGAGGUUGAUGUGUCCCUUUCUAGGUAGGAUGAGACAGAAAGGAUAAUGAGAGUUUUGUUUUCUUGGGAUUCAAAAUAUGAACUCAUUAUCCUCUAACCUCUUAAAUUAUGAUGUCAGGUUCAUUGGUCUCUUCUUCACAUACU
rnacentral:lncRNA from 1 species